GUGCCAGCCGCCGCGGUAAUACGGAGGGUGCAAGCGUUAAUCGGAAUUACUGGGCGUAAAGCGCGCGUAGGCGGUUAGAUAAGUCGAUUGUGAAAUCCCCGGGCUCAACCUGGGAAUUGCAGUCGAGACUGUCUGACUAGAGUGUGGGAGAGGGUGGUGGAAUUCCCGGUGUAGCGGUGAAAUGCGUAGAUAUCGGGAGGAACAUCAGUGGCGAAGGCGACCACCUGGCCCAACACUGACGCUGAGGUGCGAAAGCGUGGGUAGCAAACAGGAUUAGAUACCCCUGUAGUCC
rnacentral:rRNA from 1 species